UGGCGACUGCCAAUCGCCGCUUGGCUAAUUGCGCACCUUCCUCGAAGCUCCGGAGCUCUAGACCCGCGCAACUGGAGAGCUCCGGCGGGAGACAGUGCGCGUCAUUCGAUUAGAUAACCCUGCACUGCGAAAUAUCGGGCUAUUUCGUUUCUAGCUGGGCCCAAUAAAGUAUUGAUUAGUAUCGGAAGCUAAGGUAACAGUUCCAUGAUGAUAAUUUACCUAGCUAUUAAAUCUGUGCUAGGAAGAUAAUCAUUACAACAUUUUAUAUAUUCAUUUUAGGUUUUUGCAUUUUGUAUCUCCAUGUAACCUUUCAGUACUUCCGAACCGAAGUACUUGUUUCUCUUGGUGUUCCGUGCUCUCAACUCAGUGGAAAGAUAAGAAGCGAAUAGCUAUCGAUAUGGAACGCGGUGUUCAUUUUGCCACCCUGCACUAUUGAUUUGUUUACAUUCCCAAACUGUCAGUGCCAAGCAAAAAGUUAAUUCAUGUGUUUACACGGGCAUCAGCAUAAGUUAUGGCGCAACUGAAAUAUCGAUAGAGAUAUAAAACAGCGUAUCUUAUCUGAACAGAACCGUGUCUGUGGGUGAAGUUCAUAAUCGCAUUAUCUUGUUUAAUGUGGUUAAAUCCAUGUUUGAUUUGCUUAUGCAAUGUUUAGGAAUGUUUGUCUAUGUUUGCUCGACUUCAGACCUAUUUGUGCGCACCUGUCUAUCUCAACUCAGUUGAAGUGCGGAUAAUUAUGCUCCACAAUAAAUUAUGAUAAUUCAAAGCGCCGAAAGUGAAGCACUGCAAUCGAAGAGACACAAAUAGUAGCCAGCCUUGAGGACCCUCUCAACUCUUUUGUCACAACAACACACAUAUUUCUCUUGAAUUUCAGCGUGUGUCAUACAUUGGCACCUAUCAAUGAAUACGAACGCCUCGGAAUGAAUCAUCCCGUGAAUAAAAUGAUAAAACAAAUAAUAAAACUCGCAGUGGAUAAGAGCAGGGGGCUAAUGAACAAGGAAAACAAAGCGGGACAACAAUUUGAUUAACGAACGAUGCGAUUGAAACCGAAAGGUAGAAUUCUUCCGCUAGAGGAGAGUCCCAAAAGUGAUAUAUACACAUCACCCAAAAGCCAGCCAAGCGAAUGCAAGCGAACCAAAAUAAAAAAUAAUAUAGAUAAAUAAAAACAGUGCCAUUCGCUUCCUGCUGCAUUCGACAGUUUAUGCAACUCAGGAAACCACUUCGCAUUACUUCUUAUGCAACUCGCAACGGGCCUGCAGUUGUACUUUUAUUUUUAGUUGCCUUAGUUGCCGCUUAUCAAUUUUAAUGUCAAUUGAAACCGGCAGCGGGUAAUAAUGCAUACUAAUAACAAUAGCAACAAAGUCAAACGAAUCGAGAGCUCAAAUCAAAGUCGCAUUGCCGCUGCCAAGUGCGAACCACUCGCUUCCAAGUCGCGAUUCAAACUGCCUCGUAAAUUUACAGACCGCCGAACUCGACGGGAACUCGGGAUUGUAUCGCAUCGCAUCGCAUGGGAUCGGAUUCCUACAAAAGCCGGGUCUUCGAGGAAAACGAAGCUCGGAGUCUCCGAUGGCGAAGACGUCAGCUUAGGAGGCUUUUUAAAUUAAACUAAGCGUAAUAAACAAGAUCAUUGCGGGCAAGCCGUGAAGAAGGGUAAACUAUAAUGUGGGGAAAUUGCAAAAAUAAACAUCAGCUUUGAAACCGACCAAGUCAUUGUUCUUUGGCAUUACUAUUUCUCAAAAUAUUUUAGGAAGCUGUUUUCAAGUCUUGCUUUUUAUUCUACCAAAACUGAAACCAAUCAUCUGCGUACACACACAUUUUCUGUACACUUCGAGACUGGAAUGUGACCACAUAAAAAAAGGGACAACGAGAUUUUUGGGCUGGGCCCACAUCUGCCCAAGCUGAUGAGAUGAAUCACCACCAGAGAAGAAGGCAGCCAAGGAGGCCUAACGCAAAAUUCAUUUGGUCGCACUAAAAAUAAACCAAUGCAAGUUCAGCAAUACAAGUACAUGAGGCAAAAUGAUGUAAUUGUCUAAAAAUUCAAUAGCUACCAAGAAACUAAGAACACAAAGGUACACAGUAGAGGAUCGAGAGCAACCAGCAACCUUAUCUCGAGAAGUAAUGAAUCACACACAGAAGCAAUAAAAGUAAUCAGCAAUAAGCAGGCAUUCUUGCAGCUUGUAGAUACAUCGGCCAGAUACAGAUACAGAUACAGCCGCAGAUAUAUAUAUACAGAUACAGAUACAGAUACCGAUACAAACGGAGAAAACAGAGGGCCGCAGUUGAUUUUAGAAGUUUAUGAACAGCUCGGGCUACUGCUGUUUUUCUGUUUUUCUGCUGCGAUGGCAUGGACUAAUGAACAAGUACAGCAGCAACAUCGCAACAGCAACAUUGCAGCAGCAAUGGCAACAAUGAUAAUGAAGUAGACUGCGGCGAGCUGCAGCACAAAACUGCAAGUAUAUCAAAUUUACAAAACAAUUUACAACAGCAUGAGGCGAGGCCUGCAGCUGGAAGAUGAGCACGUUCAAGAUCUCCAGGCAGAGAUCAAAUGCUGCGGACCCUGCGAAGCCCCUAAAACCUAAAACAACAACUUCAGCCAGUUAGAAGCGCUCCAAAAGCAACCUUCGUUCGCCUCCUUUACCAUCUUUAUUUCUUUACUUUGUAAUUGUUGCUACCUUAAGGGAAAAAACGUAAGUAUGUUUCCCACAAUAUAUUUACUAUUUGCUAAAGUAAAGUGUGUGAUAAAAACAAUAACUGGAAAAUCAUAUGAAUUUUCUCAUUUCAUAUUUUAAAGUUGUUAAGUUAAAUUUAAUUAUUAAGUUGAUGUAUUUUUUUCUGAGUGUGUUUUCUAGCUGCUGCAGUUGCUGCUCUUGCCACAGCCCACAAGGCAAGUUUGGAAAAUUAUGGCGAAAUGUAAGUUGGCAGUUGCCUCCAAAUUGUGAAGGCAGCAGCAGGGAACUAGACGCUGUCUUUAUAUUCUUAGCUGCCCUGUUGGAACCGAAACUCCUGGAUGCUGAACCUAUAUGCUGGAUGCUAGAUGCUGAAUGCUGUAUUCUGGAUGCUGUGUUCUGGAUGCUGUAUCUUGGAGGCUGUAUUCUGGAUGCUGUAUUCUGGAUGCAGUAUUCUGGAUGCUGUAUUCUGGAUCCCGGCGAGCCCUUCAUUACUAUGCGCAUUUUCAUUUGCUCCGCUCGCUGGCUUUCUGCGAUCGUGGCCUGAUAAAUUGUGCUAAAUUACAAAGAUUUCUUUCUGCCUUGACACGCGCUUGGGGACUGCGUCAAAGAGUUGGGCAGACUAAUUGCGCAUACGCCACCUGGGACGUCUGCCAAACAGCGCAUGAAUUCGAGUGUCUCGCGCCCAUCAGAGCAGAGAAAACAGAAAUUCAUCUUAAUUAUUAAUAAAUUGUACUAUAAU